GACAGAGGGUGCAAGCGUUGUUCGGAAUCAUUGGGCGUAAAGCGCACGUAGGCGGUUCUGUAAGUCGGAUGUGAAAGCCCAGGGCUCAACCUUGGAAGUGCAUUCGAAACUGCCGAACUAGAGUCCCGGAGAGGGUGGUGGAAUUCCAGGUGUAGAGGUGAAAUUCGUAGAUAUCUGGAGGAACACCCGUGGCGAAGGCGGCCACCUGGACGGAGACUGACGCUGAGGUGCGAAAGCGAGGGGAGCAAACAGG
rnacentral:misc_RNA from 1 species